GCCUACGGCCAUGUCAUCCUGAACAAGUCCAAUCCCGUCUGAUCUCAGAAGCUAAGCAGAGUUGAGCCUGGUUAGAAUUUGGAUGGGAGACCACCUAAGAAGACCAGGUGCUGUAGGUG
rnacentral:rRNA from 1 species